rnacentral:rRNA from 1 species
AUUGAACGCUGGCGGCAGGCAUAACACAUGCAAGUCGAGCGCGAAAGUUCUUCGGAAUGAGUAAAGCGGCGGACGGGUGAGUAAUACAUGGGAAUCUGCCUGGUAGUGGGGGACAACGUUUCGAAAGGAACGCUGAUACCGCAUACGCCCUACGGGGGAAAGGGGGGGAUCUUCGGACCUCUCGCUAUCAGAUGAGCCCA